rnacentral:piRNA from 1 species
UGAAGCCGGUAGAUUUAUAGAACUGAAUA